rnacentral:rRNA from 1 species
AACGAACGCUGGCGGCAUGCCUAACACAUGCAAGUCGAACGCGUGUAGCAAUACACGAGUGGCGGACGGGUGAGUAACGCGUGGGAACCUGCCCAAUGGUAGGGAAUAACUGCGGGAAACUGCAGCUAAUACCCUAUGCUCCCUACGGGGGAAAGAUUUAUCGCCAUUGGAGGGGCCCGCGUCGGAUUAGCUAGUUGGCGGGGUAACGGCCCACCAAGGCUACGAUCCGUAGCUGGUCUGAGAGGAUGAUCAGCCACACUGGGACUGAGAUACGGCCCAGACUCCUACGGGAGGCAGCAGUGGGGAAUAUUGGACAAUGGGGGAAACCCUGAUCCAGCAAUGCCGCGUGAGUGAAGAAGGCCUUAGGGUUGUAAAGCUCUUUCGGCGGGACGAUGGUGACGGUACCCGCAGAAGAAGCCCC